rnacentral:tRNA from 1 species
CGAUUUACACAGUGGAAAAUUAAUAUUAGGGGCGAGUCAAACGACUGGAACUUAUUUAAUGCCAAAAAUAAUUGCUCUAU